rnacentral:rRNA from 1 species
GAUGAACGCUAGCGGCAGGCUUAAUACAUGCAAGGCGAGGGGGCAGCAAUGUCACCGUCGUACGGGUGCAUAACGCGUAUGCAACCUACCUUCAACUGGGGGAUAGGCCCCGGGGGAAAACCCGGAUUAAUACCGCAUAACACAAUGAGGUCUCAUGGUUUUUAUUGUUAAAAGAUUUUAUUGGUUGAAGAUGGGCAUGC